rnacentral:lncRNA from 1 species
UGACAAGUUUGGAUGCGACAACAGUUAAAAAGGACUAGAGACCACAGCAGCGAUUCUGCUCUUGCCCAACCUCUUCAAUGAGGACCCGAGUGGCCUUUAUGUCCGUGACAAGAUUUCACCGCUCUUCACUCCUUUACUGCACAUCGGUGGAAAUCCAUUUCACCAUGAGAGUUAAAUCCCGCUGGCCAUUGAUGGGGAGAACAUCCACGCCUUCGAGGACGUCCCUGUGGGACUUGGGGCUCUGCUACGGAUGGAUUUUUAUUUUCCCUUAAAUUUCCCCAAAAUGUCAGAAAAACACUUAUGUUGUUAAAUUACUGUGUUCUGUGGAUAAGAGAAGUUGGGGUGAAGUUACUAGGGCCGGUCAUAAAGAUGGAGAACUUCCUAACAUAACUAAGUGGAUAUGAUAUACACACUAAAGCUGAAAAAUCUGUAUUUAGCAUCAAGUCUAUGUUGUUAUUUUACCUAUGAUUCAUUUUUAAUUAUGUUUUUAUUGUACAUCAUUAUUAUUA